GGGCGCGGGUCUGCGCUCAUCCGCCCGCGGUGCGCUGUGUACUUCACAAGUUUCUCAUCUGGUCACAGUGAGACAGCCGACGUUAUGUGAGGGACCAGCCUCUGGCGUUUAGCUGUCCUAAACAAGUCGGCAUUUCUGGGCGGCGUGUGCAUCAUUGUAACACCCCUCAGUGCCGUGCGCGGGGGUCGCACCCGGCUGCUUUUGUCAGCCCCAAACCCGCCUUUCUCCGCGGGCUGCUGGCUCGCCUCACAGCAGCCCUGCCCCGCACCCUGGAGCUGCCGUCAGAGCCGAGCAGUGCUGCCUCUUUCUCCGGUCAGAGCACGGAAACGGGCUUUGGUUCCACAGGAGAGAAGAAGAAGGAGGUGACGAAGAAAGAUGCGGCUCCAUACAUCUGGCACCUGGAAGAAGUGUUAUUUGUUAUCUCACAGAUCAACUGCCUUAGCACCAUGCCAUCUGUGUCACACCUCUGUCACAGUCCACAGAAGUCCUUGGUAAGUCAAGACCUUUGAUAUAUUUUCUCCAGAGCCUUUUCUGCUGAAAGAUCAUUGGUUCCAGUCAAACCUUCAGCAUCAGUAAUCUGGCCAUUGAGUCACUGAAAAGGAAUUUCUCAGCCACACUUAUUUUAUUCUUAACAGAUGG
rnacentral:lncRNA from 1 species